rnacentral:rRNA from 1 species
GAGGUUAAGCGACUAAGCGUACACGGUGGAUGCCUAGGCAGUCAGAGGCGAUGAAGGGCGUGCUAAUCUGCGAAAAGCGUCGGUAAGGUGAUAUGAACCGUUAUAACCGACGAUACCCGAAUGGGGAAACCCAGUGCAAUUCGUUGCACUAUUGCAUGGUGAAUACAUAGCCAUGCAAGGCGAACCGGGGGAACUGAAACAUCUAAGUACCCCGAGGAAAAGAAAUCAACCGAGAUUCCCCCAGUAGCGGCGAGCGAACGGGGAGGAGCCCAGAACCUGAAUCAGCAUAUGUGUUAGUGGAAGCGUCUGGAAAGUCGCACGGUACAGGGUGAUAGUCCCGUACACAAAAAUGCAUAUGUUGUGAGUUCGAUGAGUAGGGCGGGACACGUGACAUCCUGUCUGAAUAUGGGGGGACCAUCCUCCAAGGCUAAAUACUCCUGACUGACCGAUAGUGAACCAGUACCGUGAGGGAAAGGCGAAAAGAACCCCGGCGAGGGGAGUGAAAUAGAACCUGAAACCGUGUACGUACAAGCAGUGGGAGCACCUUCGUGGUGUGACUGCGUACCUUUUGUAUAAUGGGUCAGCGACUUAUAUUUUGUAGCAAGGUUAACCGAAUAGGGGAGCCGUAGGGAAACCGAGUCUUAACUGGGCGAAUAGUUGCAAGGUAUAGACCCGAAACCCGGUGAUCUAGCCAUGGGCAGGUUGAAGGUUGGGUAACACUAACUGGAGGACCGAACCGACUAAUGUUGAAAAAUUAGCGGAUGACUUGUGGCUGGGGGUGAAAGGCCAAUCAAACCGGGAGAUAGCUGGUUCUCCCCGAAAGCUAUUUAGGUAGCGCCUCGUGAACUCAUCUUCGGGGUAGAGCACUGUUUCGGCUAGGGGGUCAUCCCGACUUACCAAACCGAUGCAAACUCCGAAUACCGAAGAAUGUUAUCACGGGAGACACACGGCGGGUGCUAACGUCCGUCGUGAAGAGGGAAACAACCCAGACCGCCAGCUAAGGUCCCAAAGUCAUGGUUAAGUGGGAAACGAUGUGGGAAGGCAUAGACAGCCAGGAUGUUGGCUUAGAAGCAGCCAUCAUUUAAAGAAAGCGUAAUAGCUCACUGGUCGAGUCGGCCUGCGCGGAAGAUGUAACGGGGCUAAACCAUGCACCGAAGCUGCGGCAGCGACACUUAGGUGUUGUUGGGUAGGGGAGCGUUCUGUAAGCCGUUGAAGGUGACCUGUGAGGGUUGCUGGAGGUAUCAGAAGUGCGAAUGCUGACAUAAGUAACGAUAAUGCGGGUGAAAAACCCGCACGCCGGAAGACCAAGGGUUCCUGUCCAACGUUAAUCGGGGCAGGGUGAGUCGACCCCUAAGGCGAGGCUGAAAAGCGUAGUCGAUGGGAAACAGGUUAAUAUUCCUGUACUUGGUGUUACUGCGAAGGGGGACGGAGAAGGCUAGGCUAGCCGGGCGACGGUUGUCCCGGUUUAAGCAUGUAGGCGGAGUGACUUGGUAAAUCCGGUUGCUUAUCAACGCUGAGGUGUGAUGACGAGCCACUACGGUGGUGAAGUAGUUGAUGCCAAGCUUCCAGGAAAAGCCUCUAAGCAUCAGGUAACAUUAAAUCGUACCCCAAACCGACACAGGUGGUCAGGUAGAGAAUACUCAGGCGCUUGAGAGAACUCGGGUGAAGGAACUAGGCAAAAUGGUGCCGUAACUUCGGGAGAAGGCACGCUGGCAUUAGGUAAAGAGACUUGCUCUCGGAGCUGAAGCCAGUCGCAGAUACCAGCUGGCUGCAACUGUUUAAUAAAAACACAGCACUGUGCAAACACGAAAGUGGACGUAUACGGUGUGACGCCUGCCCGGUGCUGGAAGGUUAAUUGAUGGGGUCAGCCGCAAGGCGAAGCUCUUGAUCGAAGCCCCAGUAAACGGCGGCCGUAACUAUAACGGUCCUAAGGUAGCGAAAUUCCUUGUCGGGUAAGUUCCGACCUGCACGAAUGGCGUAAUGAUGGCCAGGCUGUCUCCACCCGAGACUCAGUGAAAUUGAACUCGCUGUGAAGAUGCAGUGUACCCGCGGCAAGACGGAAAGACCCCGUGAACCUUUACUAUAGCUUGACACUGAACAUUGAGCCUUGAUGUGUAGGAUAGGUGGGAGGCAUCGAAGUGUGGACGCCAGUCUGCAUGGAGCCAACCUUGAAAUACCACCCUUUAAUGUUUGAUGUUCUAACUCGGCCCCGUGAUCCGGGGUGAGGACAGUGUCUGGUGGGUAGUUUGACUGGGGCGGUCUCCUCCCAAAGAGUAACGGAGGAGCACGAAGGUUAGCUAAUCACGGUCGGACAUCGUGAGGUUAGUGCAAAGGCAUAAGCUAGCUUGACUGCGAGAGUGACGGCUCGAGCAGGUACGAAAGUAGGUCUUAGUGAUCCGGUGGUUCUGAAUGGAAGGGCCAUCGCUCAACGGAUAAAAGGUACUCCGGGGAUAACAGGCUGAUACCGCCCAAGAGUUCAUAUCGACGGCGGUGUUUGGCACCUCGAUGUCGGCUCAUCACAUCCUGGGGCUGAAGUAGGUCCCAAGGGUAUGGCUGUUCGCCAUUUAAAGUGGUACGCGAGCUGGGUUUAGAACGUCGUGAGACAGUUCGGUCCCUAUCUGCCGUGGGCGUUGGAAGAUUGAGAGGGGCUGCUCCUAGUACGAGAGGACCGGAGUGGACGAAUCACUGGUGUUCGGGUUGUCAUGCCAAUGGCAUUGCCCGGUAGCUAAAUUCGGAAGAGAUAACCGCUGAAAGCAUCUAAGCGGGAAACUUGCCUCGAGAUGAGUCUUCCCUGGGGCUUUAAGCUCCCUGAAGGAACGUUAAAGACUAUGACGUUGAUAGGCUGGGUGUGUAAGUGCAGCGAUGCAUUGAGCUAACCAGUACUAAUGAUCCGUGAGGCUUAACCUUAC